CGAAGGUCCCAAGCGUUAUCCGGAUUUAUUGGGUUUAAAGGGUGCGUAGGCGGAUUAUUAAGUCAGUGGUGAAAGCCUUCAGCUUAACUGAAGAACUGCCAUUGAUACUGAUGAUCUUGAGUAUGAUUGAGGCGGGCGGAAUGUGUCAUGUAGCGGUGAAAUGCUUAGAUAUGACACAGAACACCGAUUGCGAAGGCAGCUCGCUAAGCCAUAACUGACGCUGAUGCACGAAAGCGUGGGGAGCAAACAGGAUUAGAUACCCUGGUAGUCCACGCCCUAAACGAUGAUCACUCGAUGUGUGCGAUAUACUGUACGCGUCUGAGCGAAAGCAUUAAGUGAUCCACCUGGGGAGUACGACCGCAAGGUUG
rnacentral:rRNA from 1 species